UCCUCUUUACAGAGGCAGUUUGUUCCGAGUCCCCGACUUUACUCGCUGGUAACAGAACAUGAGGGUUGCGCUCGUUGCGGGACUUAACCCAACAUUUCACAACACGAGCUGACGACAGCCAUGCACCACCUGUGAAGCACCCUCGAAGGCGACCGCUUUUCGGCGGCUUGCAGCUCCAUGUCAAGCCCUGGUAAGGUUCUUCGCGUUGCAUCGAAUUAAGCCAUAUGCUCCACCGCUUGUGCGGGCCCCCGCCAAUUCCUUUGAGUUUCAACCUUGCGGCCGUAGUCCCCAGGCGGAUCACUUAAUGCGUUAGCUGCGGCACCGAGGGUAACCCCCCGACACCUAGUGAUCAUAGUUUAGGGCCAAGACUAC
rnacentral:misc_RNA from 1 species